rnacentral:lncRNA from 1 species
UGUUAACCUCUGAUUGCCUUGAAGAUCUGAAAGCCUCCGUGCACAGUCUGAAGGAAGCUUUGCUUGCACGGGGGUGGGCCAUGGACAAAGACAAGGUCCAGGGAGCUGGCUUGUAGGUCAAAUUCUUGGGUGUUACAGGGCCGUAAGACAAGAUCCAUGACAACACACCAAUUACAGGAGUGUGUGGGCUCGCUAGGUUUUGGGCAGAUAUACAGCGCCUAGCACCCUGCUGUGCCCUUUCCACCAGAUGACCAAAAGGGGCACGACGUGGGCUGCUCAGAUGCAGCAGAAAUGCUUGCUGGACGGAUGCAGCAGGAGCGGCUUUGCGGGACUGAAAGAGGCUGUUGCACGGGCGCGAGCCCUACGAGUCACUGACCCCAACCUGCCAUUUCUCCUAACCGUCCGUGCAGAUGAGGAUGGAUCCGGCAGGGGCCGAUGGCAAAAGCCGGGGAAGCGGAAGCUCCCUGUGGGGCUUUGGUCACAGCUGUGGACGGCAGCUGAGGGCUGGUCCUGCCCGACUGAGAAACAGCAGCACUGUACACUGCUCUGCAUGCCUGUGAGGAAUCGCGGGACGGAUGGAGGCUGGAAACUUCCUUAAACACAGGAAUGUAAGGAAUUACCUGCAAUGGGGACUCUACUUUCCGAGCAUGUUCAGCUAUACACCCGAGCGAGAGAAGAGUCACCUCACGGUACCUGUGCACAUCGGCUGCUCAAGGUCCUGCCCAAACUGGUUUUUAUUUUCAUCCAUUAAACAAUAAGUGAUAAUCAAACUCAGAAGGGUCCACCUCCUUCACUCCUCAAAGCCAAUCAUGUCUAUAAAGCUUCAAUAACACUUUUAUGGUUCAUCUCCACCCAAAUAUGAUCCCACUAUCACUCAUUCUACACCCAGAAUGCCUCUUUCUUCUCCCUGGUGCAAAGAAAUAUACAAAUGGAGGACAGACCUGAGAUUGGUUAGGAGUAGCAUUAUUUUUGCAUUUUUUCAAACAUGAGAGCAGUAUAGGGUUGGUCUAGGAGUCAGGCACUGGUCACUCCUCGCCCCUUUAAUUCCUGUGUGACUAUACCCUCAUUACUUACCGGGAUAACUGUCACACAAGACAGGCUGAAAAUGGGGCUGGGGAUUUAGCUCAGUGGCACAGCGCCUGCCUGGCAAG